UACGAAGGGGGCUAGCGUUGCUCGGAAUCACUGGGCGUAAAGCGCACGUAGGCGGCUUUUUAAGUCAGGGGUGAAAUCCUGGAGCUCAACUCCAGAACUGCCUUUGAUACUGAGAGCUUGAGUCCGGGAGAGGUGAGUGGAACUGCGAGUGUAGAGGUGAAAUUCGUAGAUAUUCGCAAGAACACCAGUGGCGAAGGCGGCUCACUGGCCCGGGUACUGACGCUGAGGUGCGAAAGCG
rnacentral:rRNA from 1 species